GUCUGAAAUCAGGAUGGCUCUUAAGAGCUUUCAAAAGAGGCUCUGCAGGUGCUAGCCAGGGAACCUAACAAGUUGCUUUUGCUUGCGUGUGUGCAUGUGGCAACUUUACCAGGCCCAGAAGGGAGGUGUUCACUUCAUUUGAUUUAGUAUCACUGGGAGCACCACUGGUGCACGCUAUCUCAAUUUAAUUUAGAAGUGUCAUUGUAAAACAGCAACAAAAAUAUUUUCAAACGGGUUUCCCCCAUAGUGCAGCAUUGAAACAGAGUUACUGUGAAUACAGAAGACUGUCUAUCCCACAGCAGGCAAUGCAAUUAAAGACUUCAGAGAAUGCCAGAUUUUUCAGAAUGCAUCAUAGAAUUUUCAAAGCUGUAAGAAAGAGGUGAGGAUGCUGAGAUGUAGAGAGACUGAUUUGCUCAAGAUAACAAAGAGUUUUAUUGAUUUGGGAACCCAUGGAAGGGGGUCAGCUGUGAGAUAUCACAUGAUCAGACUGACUGCCUGACCAGACUGACUGCCAUCCUGUUAAAGGAAUGAAUCACAGUUCAUCUCGCAGAUUUAUGGCAUGCCUACAGAAAAAGUACCUUAUGAUGCAAACCUGAAAGUUUAAAUAAUCUCCUGAAAGUUCCACAAUCAGCUGCAGAGAACUCCAGGAGCUGUUUUUAAAGAAGAUUAAGCUCUCACCCCUGCAGUACGCUUCUUUCCGUUGGGUUUCCUCCGCCUGUAAGUCACCUUUCUUGAAGGGGUAUCUUCAAGAAGACCCAAGCCUGCCUAGCUUUCCUGGUGUCCUCCUGGCCAUAGGAAACUCUCCUGUUUUUGUCUCACUGCACCGUUACCUCUUCUUUUCCAUACCAUUCUACUCCAGCCAGGUUCCAGCUUUCAUCAUUCUCCAGAGAAGACAUCUCCAUUUUCACAUAAGCUCCCCAACUCUCAAGAAGACAUGUCAAACUUCAAAGAACUUUUUUUACUAUGUGCUCCCAUGCUCUGAUGGCAACAUCUAAAUAGGUUUACAAGUUUCUGAAGUUCAGCAUGUGAAGGGGUCAAUGGGGGAACUGAGAUGCAGAUCCCCUUUUCUUGAGGACACCUCUAAUUUGGUUUCACAGAGCUGGGAGAUGGUGCUCCCUCCUCUCCUCCACAAAGAGAAAAGCCACGGCACACUUCCUCACUGCGGCCCCCUCUAAAAUCUUUCUCUAUUCAACUAACGUUCUUUUGAGUUAUUUUCCUUUAUGUGAUCUGGUUGCCAUACAGAGGAUGAAGCCCUCUUUUAUAAUAUAAACCCUGAAGGGCAUGUAUGGCAGGUUCUUAAUGUUCUCUUUGGAAUUUGAUGCUACAUAGCUUCUAAUAUACUGAAUUUUGGGACUCUAAACAACAUUCUAAAACAAUAGGAAAAGUCUUUCCAAUAUCAUGAUGUGAUCAUCAUUGCUGUUUCUUUUAUUUUUAAUCUUUUUAAAAUUUCACUUAACUUUUAUAAAUAGAGAUUUGUAUUUUAAAAUAUUCCAAUGUGUGGAAAUGUUUCUUGUAAUAAAAGGGAAUAUUCCCUUUAAUUUUUCUCAUGCACCUAUAUUUGGUUUUUCCUCACUUAGUUUAUGCUGUUUUUCUAUCCCCUUGUGCUUUCUACUGUUUUCUGUCUUUGAUUACAUGUACUGAGUGAUUAUUUUGUUUUUUAAAUCGUGGUUUUUAAAAUUUUUUAAAUUUAAGUUCCAGGAUACAUGUG
rnacentral:lncRNA from 1 species